rnacentral:rRNA from 1 species
GAUCCUGGCUCAGGAUGAGCGCUGGCGGCGCGCCUAACACAUGCAAGUCGAACGGCACCCAUCUUCGGAUGGAAGCGAGUGGCGAACGGCUGAGUAACACGUGGAGAACCUGCCCCCUCCCCCGGGAUAGCCGUCCGAAAGGACGGGUAAUACCGGAUACCCCGGGGUGCCGCAUGGCACCCCGGCUAAAGCCCCGACGGGAGGGGAUGGCUCCGCGGCCCAUCAGGUAGGCGGCGGGGUGACGGCCCUCCGUGCCGACAACGGGUAGCCGGGUUGAGAGACCGACCGGCCAGAUUGGGACUGAGACACGGCCCAGACUCCUACGGGAGGCAGCAGUGGGGAAUCUUGCGCAAUGGGGGGAACCCUGACGCAGCGACGCCGCGUGCGGGACGGAGGCCUUCGGGUCGUAAACCGCUUUCAGCAGGGAAGAGUCAAGACUGUACCUGCAGAAGAAGCCCCGGCUAACUACGUGCCAGCAGCCGCGGUAAUACGUAGGGGGCGAGCGUUAUCCGGAUUCAUUGGGCGUAAAGCGCGCGUAGGCGGCCCGGCAGGCCGGGGGUCGAAGCGGGGGGCUCAACCCCCCGAAGCCCCCGGAACCUCCGCGGCUUGGGUCCGGUAGGGGAGGGUGGAACACCCGGUGUAGCGGUGGAAUGCGCAGAUAUCGGGUGGAACACCGGUGGCGAAGGCGGCCCUCUGGGCCGAGACCGACGCUGAGGCGCGAAAGCUGGGGGAGCGAACAGGAUUAGAUACCCUGGUAGUCCCAGCCGUAAACGAUGGACGCUAGGUGUGGGGGGACGAUCCCCCCGUGCCGCAGCCAACGCAUUAAGCGUCCCGCCUGGGGAGUACGGCCGCAAGGCUAAAACUCAAAGGAAUUGACGG